GACGAACGCUGGCGGCGUGCCUAAUACAUGCAAGUAGAACGCUGAAGAGAGGAGCUUGCUCUUCUUGGAUGAGUUGCGAACGGGUGAGUAACGCGUAGGUAACCUGCCUUGUAGCGGGGGAUAACUAUUGGAAACGAUAGCUAAUACCGCAUAACAAUGGAUGACACAUGUCAUUUAUUUGAAAGGGGCAAUUGCUCCACUACAAGAUGGACCUGCGUUGUAUUAGCUAGUAGGUGAGGUAAUGGCUCACCUAGGCGACGAUACAUAGCCGACCUGAGAGGGUGAUCGGCCACACUGGGACUGAGACACGGCCCAGACUCCUACGGGAGGCAGCAGUAUGGAAUCUUCGGCAAUGGGGGCAACCCUGACCGAGCAACGCCGCGUGAGUGAAGAAGGGUUUCGGAUCGUAAAGCUCUGUUGUAAGUCAAGAACGGGUGUGAGAGUGGAAAGUUCACACUGUGACGGUAGCUUACCAGAAAGGGACGGCUAACUACGUG
rnacentral:rRNA from 1 species